rnacentral:rRNA from 1 species
UACGUAGGGACCAAGCGUUGUUCGGAUUUACUGGGCGUAAAGGGCGCGUAGGCGGCUUAACAAGCCACUUGUGAAAUCUCUGGGCUUAACCCAGAACGGCCAAGUGAAACUGUUAUGCUAGAGUGCAGAAGGGGCAAUCGGAAUUCUUGGUGUAGCGGUGAAAUGCGUAGAUAUCAAGAGGAACACCUGAGGUGAAGACGGGUUGCUGGGCUGACACUGACGCUGAGGCGCGAAAGCCAGGGGAGCAAACGGG